AGGACUAACGUUGGCGGCGUGCCUAACACAUGCAAGUCGAACGAAGUAGCAAUACUUAGUGGCAGACGGGUGAGUAACACGUAGUCAACCUGCCCUUCAAUGGGGGAUAACUAGCCGAAAGGUUAGCUAAUACCGCAUACGAUCUCUGAGUGGCAUCACUCGGCGAUGAAAGGAGUAAUCCGUUGAAGGAGGGGACUGCGUCCCAUUAGUUAGUUGGUGGGGUAAUGGCCUACCAAGACUCCGAUGGGUAGCUGGCUUGAGAGAGCGACCAGCCACACUGGAACUGAGACACGGUCCAGACUCCUACGGGAGGCAGCAGUGAGGAAUUUUCCGCAAUGGGGGAAACCCUGACGGAGCGACGCCGCGUGUGGGAAGAAGGCCUUCGGGUCGUAAACCACUGUCGAGGGGGACGAGUAUUGACGGUACCCCUGGAGGAAGCCCCGGCUAACUACGUGCCAGCAGCCGC
rnacentral:rRNA from 1 species